UGAGCUUCAUUUACAUUUUCAACCCAUGAGUUUAAUCUAAUGGGACACUGAUUUCAAUCCCAAAAUCCUUGAUUUUGUAAUAACUAAUUAUCUAACCACAACAUUUCAUAACAUACACAUCCAGUCCGUUAUUACAGAAAAUCAUUUUCCUGCAUAAGUGUAGCUCUGGUUUCUAAUUAAACAUGUCACUUAAUAAGGGGCUUGGACAGAUGGCCACAGUUAACAAGAAGCACAGGAUCAAAGAAGUGUGUUUCAUUUUUUCUUGCCCCUUCUUCCUCCCCUCAGACACACUACUUUUUUCUUGUAGAUGUAGUCCACAAUAGCCAUUAAAGCUCUUUUGAUCUGUUUAGAGGAUUGGUCAGCAGAAGAAGUAGACAUUCAUGUCUGAAUAGGUCCUGGCACAUGGGUUCUAGAAGAUUUUAUAGAGUUUGAAUGAUAUCUUAAACAGAGCCAGAAAAAUCAGCGGUGGAUAGCAAGACCCUCCUUUUCAUAUAAGCCCAAAAAUCCAAGUUUAGUGACUUUGGUCAUGUUGUAGGAACGUGCUUUGGACUUUCACACUGAGAUGGAGAGAUUGGAAGAGGAGUGGUGACUUCAGCUUUGUGUUUGAUGUGUGUUCAGAAUGGAGCUCUCAUUCAGUCUAUAUGCGGUAUUAGAAAGAAUUAGUUUAUUUUUUAUAAUUUGAAGACUUUGUUUGUCUUUAUGUCUAAAUAUCUGUACAAAUAAAAAAAAUCUUGUUGUUUAUCUUUUAGGUGACCAUACUCCACAUUAUGGCCGUUAGCCUCUCUAAUUUGGGUGAACUCUGUCUCAACUUUUCCCUCGGACCACUGGCACAAGAGCUGAGCACGUCUCACCGCCCUGAUAAAGAUUGACAAAGAAGCAAAGGUUCCAAGAGCUGCGGUCCACGUCAUUGCUUUGGUUCUCAGGUGCCUU